rnacentral:lncRNA from 1 species
GAGGCGCCGUCUACCGGCUUCCAGAGCCCACCGCUCCCUACCCUGGCUCCCGGGGGUGUGGCCGCCGGAGGGUGUGCCGGCCCAGAGUCCCAGGCCCUGCCGGCCCGGCCUCUCCCUCCCUUCUGUCACCGCAGCCGACCGGCCAAGGGCACCAGCCCUGGAGAGGGCUCGGGGCUCAGCCUGGCCUGCUCUGCUGUGAGCUCAUUCCCCGAGUCCACCAGUUCUAGUUCCUGCCCCUCCCCCAAAGGCUCGGGUCGCAGGCUGGGGCCUGGCACCCACCCCAAAGUUUGGGAGGGGGCUCCGAGGCCAUCAGGCUCCAGGCCGCCUUUGGCUCUGCCCCCUGGCGCCAGGGAAACAAAGGUUAGGGGCCCAGAGGGAGUUAUCUGGCCCCAUCCCCACCGGGUGGGGGGGGACAAGAGGGGCGCAGUUCCCCUCCACUCCCCAGCCGUACUGAUUCUUCGAGACACUUUCACAGGCGGAAAUUCCCAGAGGCCAGGACCUAAACUGUUCACAACUCCCAGCAGGCCAGAGCUGCAGAGACCUCAGAUAGAGACUGUAAAGUGCUGUGGAAGCCUUGUUCAAAUAAAAACAUUCAUGAAUGUCCAGUAUUUGAAAUUGAUAUGCUGAGGUUCUCCAAUGGAAACUGGGCUGGAGGCACCCACACCCCUGUUCACUCAGCCUGUUCUCCUCUCCUAUCUCAAUCUCUCUCUCUCUCUUUUUUUUUUUUUUAAUAGAAAUAACACCUUGCUGUAUUGCCUAGGCUGGUGUGCAUUGGCAUGAUCAUAGGUCACUGCAGCCUUGAAUUCCUGGGCUCAAGUGAUCCUCCCACCCCAGGCUCCUGAGUAGCAAGGACUAUAGAUGCCACACCUGGCUAAUUUUUAUUUUUAUUUUUUGUAGUGACGGGGGGUCUUGCUAGGUUGCCCAGGCUGGUCUUGAACUCCUGACUUCAAGCAGUCCUCCCACCUCAGCCUCCUAAAGUGUUGGGAUUACAGGCGUGAGCCACUGUGCCUGGCCCCCUAUCCCAAUAUCUAUAAGAU